rnacentral:rRNA from 1 species
GACGAACGCUGGCGGCGUGCCUAAUACAUGCAAGUCGAGCGGACGAAUCGAAAGCUUGCUUUUGAUUCGUUAGCGGCGGACGGGUGAGUAACACGUGGGCAACCUGCCCUGUAGACGGGGAUAACACCGAGAAAUCGGUGCUAAUACCGGAUAACACGAAAUGUCGCAUGACGUUUCGUUGAAAGACGGCGCAAGCUGUCGCUACAGGAUGGGCCCGCGGCGCAUUAGCUAGUUGGUGAGGUAACGGCUCACCAAGGCGACGAUGCGUAGCCGACCUGAGAGGGUGAUCGGCCACACUGGGACUGAGACACGGCCCAGACUCCUACGGGAGGCAGCAGUAGGGAAUCUUCCGCAAUGGACGAAAGUCUGACGGAGCAACGCCGCGUGAGCGAAGAAGGCCUUAGGGUCGUAAAGCUCUGUUGUUAGGGAAGAACAAGUAACGCAGUAACUGGCGUUACCGUGACGGUACCUAACGAGAAAGCCACGGCUAACUACGUG